CAACUUCUUGGUAGCAGCAGAGGAUGAGCAAAUACAUUGUCUGCAAAGGCUGAGUCAAUUAGCAGUGGCUGUCAUGUGUAUUGAACUGCAGUUGUUUAAAGUGAGAAUAUUCUAAAUGCAGAGAGCUAUUACAGUUGGGAAGAAUUUCUGAGCAGUGUUUCAGCUUUUUCUAGUUCUGACUUCAAGCAUGGACCUUGACAAAGCAGCAGAAUGACAACUUGGUAGGAAUUCUGUGCCUUAUUUCUUAAUCCUGAUGAGCCAAACCUACGGUGAACUCCCAUUCCUCAGAGAGAGCCAGAGCCACGGGGUCACAUCAAGCCACUCUGUACAGAUCAGUUCUACAGAGUUUUCUGAAAGCAUAACCUUAAAUCCUACGAAAACCAGUUGUCCAUGCUUCAGUCUCCUGAGAAGGCAGCUCCUGCUGCCUCCUGCAGCCCCACUCGUGCUGAAGCAAGGCCAUUUACACCGUGCUUCAGAACCAGUAAAGAAAACCUAUAUACAAUAUUUUAAGUCCUGAACCCAUCUGCUACCUUGAUGGAGCCUGAGAAAAUUUCAUGACAAGAGUGUUUCUGUGAACUGCAGUUUAGCCAAUGACUACCCCAGUAAUUUGUCCCUUCAUUUUUAAGGGAAAAGAUCUUGGCAAGAGAUCUCAUUCCAGAUUUUACAUAUGAAAACACUGUAAGACAAAAAAUGAGGAUUAUCAGUAAAACAGACAUAAUUUGAGGCCUGACAACAAAACCUUCAGCAUUUUUAAAUGCUUAUCUCUAUGACUGGAGUGGAAUGGGAAGAAAAGGAUGACUGUUUCAGUCAGAAGGAACCUACAACGAUGUCUGUCAAAUUCAGGCCUGACCAAGUGAAAGUAAAUUGAUCUCAAUCACUACCAAGCUUGGGAAUUUCCUGCCUCUUUAGGAAGCCUGUCCUGGUAUUUGACCACCUCCUUGGCAAGGAAAAGCUUUCUUAUAUCCAGUCUGAACCUCCCUGCUCCAGCUUUGAAUCGUUCCCAU
rnacentral:lncRNA from 1 species